rnacentral:rRNA from 1 species
GACGAACGCUGGCGGCGUGCUUAACACAUGCAAGUCGAACGGAAAGGCCCUGCUUUUGUGGGGUGCUCGAGUGGCGAACGGGUGAGUAACACGUGAGUAACCUGCCCUUGACUUUGGGAUAACUACAGGAAACUGGGGCUAAUACCGGAUAGGAGCUCCUGCUGCAUGGUGGGGGUUGGAAAGUUUCGGCGGUUGGGGAUGGACUCGCGGCUUAUCAGCUUGUUGGUGGGGUAGUGGCUUACCAAGGCUUCGACGGGUAGCCGGCCUGAGAGGGGGACCGGGCACAUUGGGACUGAGAUACGGCGCAGAAGCCUACGGGAGGCAGCAGUGGGGAGUAUGACGCAGUGGGGGGAAGCGUGAGGCAGCGACGCCGCGUGCGGGAUGACGGCCUUCGGGUGGUAAACCGCUUUCGCCUGUGACGAAGCGUGAGUGACGGUAAUGGGUAAAGAAGCACCGGCUAACUACGUG